rnacentral:misc_RNA from 1 species
CCCAACUACUACACAGGAAAUCAAUGCAAAACCACGAGGCACAGGGCAAAAUAGCCAAAAUAAAAGGAGAAUCAAGAAACCCAAAAACUCUAGAUCCCAAUACAGAGAUAAUUAAAUAGCGUCCCUCCACAACUCGAUGUCAGCAUUAAUCUGUUUAAUCAAGAACCCCAACAUUAAGUCUUUACCAAGCUUUAACAUUUAAUGAGCUUCCUCACUAACAUUGAAAGGAACAUCUCCAUAACUCUUUUUAGGAUUGGAGCGCCGAAUGCUAGAAUUGACAUGAUUUAUAUCACUAUCUGAAGGAGAGCAAGGGGAAACCUGGCUUGAGCUCUUUGAGCGAUCUGGAGAU